CUCCAGACUCCUACGGGAGGCAGCAGUGGGGAAUAUUGGACAAUGGGGGGAACCCUGAUCCAGCGACGCCGCGUGAGUGAAGAAGUAUUUCGGUAUGUAAAGCUCUAUCAGCAGGGAAGAAAGAAAUGACGGUACCUGAGUAAGAAGCACCGGCUAAAUACGUGCCAGCAGCCGCGGUAAUACGUAUGGUGCAAGCGUUAUCCGGAUUUACUGGGUGUAAAGGGAGCGCAGGCGGCACGGCAAGCCUGAUGCGAAAGCCCGCGGCCCAACCGCGGGACUGCAUUGGGAACUACCGGGCUGGAGUGCCGGAGGGGCAGGCGGAAUUCCUGGUGUAGCGGUGAAAUGCGUAGAUAUCAGGAGGAACACCGGUGGCGAAGGCGGCCUGCUGGACUGCAACUGACGUUGAGGCCCGAAAGCGUGGGGAGCAAGCAGGAUUAGAUACCCUAGUA
rnacentral:rRNA from 1 species